AAACCUUGACACAAAUCUUCUUAAGACAUGGUGUAUCAUAUUUUUCAAAAUUACAUGACGCAGAUAGAUUACUUAAAAUCUAUGAGCUUGGUGAAAAAUAUAUUUACUGGUAUAUUGAAGAGAAUGACAUCGAUACUCAAAAUCAUAAAGACAUAAAUGGU